AAACGACUCUCGGCAACGGAUAUCUCGGCUCACGCAUCGAUGAAGAACGUAGCAAAAUGCGAUACUUGGUGUGAAUUGCAGAAUCCCGUGAACCAUCGAGUUUUUGAACGCAAGUUGCGCCCGAAGCCAUCCGGCCGAGGGCACGCCUGCCUGGGCGUCACG
rnacentral:rRNA from 51 species